rnacentral:misc_RNA from 1 species
GCUUGAUGUUCUCUCCUAUCUUGUGGAUCUAAGAAUAAAUUGUUAACAUCCGUUGCCAGGAAGGCUGAUCCUGAAUAGCUUUCCAAGAUAUCAGAACUGUUGGAAAAGUCAGCUGUUAAGUCCGACAAACUAAAGUUUCGAGGUAUCUGCCCCAAGAAACCAAAUGAAGAUGAAUCAGCAUCCAACACAGUCUCAUUUACUGGUUGUGAAUCUGAUUCUACACUGCUGAAAGAUGAUACAGAUGGAUCUGUAAUUCCAGGAUGAGUUUCGAGGAUAUUUG